AGAGUUUGAUCCUGGCUCAGGAUGAACGCUAGCGGCAGGCUUAACACAUGCAAGUCGAGGGGCAGCAUAAUGGAUAGCAAUAUCUAUGGUGGCGACCGGCGCACGGGUGCGUAACGCGUAUGUAACCUACCUAUAACAGGGGCAUAACACUGAGAAAUUGGUACUAAUACCCCAUAAUAUCAUAGAAGGCAUCUUUUAUGGUUGAAAAUUCCGAUGGUUAGAGAUGGGCAUGCGUUGUAUUAGCUAGUUGGUGGGGUAACGGCUCACCAAGGCGACGAUACAUAGGGGGACUGAGAGGUUAACCCCCCACACUGGUACUGAGACACGGACCAGACUCCUACGGGAGGCAGCAGUGAGGAAUAUUGGUCAAUGGACGCAAGUCUGAACCAGCCAUGCCGCGUGCAGGAUGACGGCUCUAUGAGUUGUAAACUGCUUUUGUACGAGGGUAAACGCAGAUACGUGUAUCUGUCUGAAAGUAUCGUACGAAUAAGGAUCGGCUAACUCCGUGCCAGCAGCCGCGGUAAUACGGAGGAUUCAAGCGUUAUCCGGAUUUAUUGGGUUUAAAGGGUGCGUAGGCGGUUUGAUAAGUUAGAGGUGAAAUUUCGGGGCUCAACCCUGAACGUGCCUCUAAUACUGUUGAGCUAGAGAGUAGUUGCGGUAGGCGGAAUGUAUGGUGUAGCGGUGAAAUGCUUAGAGAUCAUACAGAACACCGAUUGCGAAGGCAGCUUACCAAACUAUAUCUGACGUUGAGGCACGAAAGCGUGGGGAGCAAACAGGAUUAGAUACCCUGGUAGUCCACGCAGUAAACGAUGAUAACUCGUUGUCGGCGAUACACAGUCGGUGACUAAGCGAAAGCGAUAAGUUAUCCACCUGGGGAGUACGUUCGCAAGAAUGAAACUCAAAGGAAUUGACGGGGGCCCGCACAAGCGGAGGAACAUGUG
rnacentral:rRNA from 1 species